GACGAACGCUGGCGGCGUGCUUAACACAUGCAAGUCGAACGGAAAGGCCCUGCUUGCAGGGUACUCGAGUGGCGAACGGGUGAGUAACACGUGGGUGAUCUGCCCUGCACUUCGGGAUAAGCCUGGGAAACUGGGUCUAAUACCGGAUGGGAGCCAUUUUUAGUGUGAUGGUUGGAAAGUUUUUUCGGUGUAGGAUGAGCUCGCGGCCUAUCAGCUUGUUGGUGGGGUAAUGGCCUACCAAGGCGGCGACGGGUAGCCGGCCUGAGAGGGUGGACGGCCACAUUGGGACUGAGAUACGGCCCAGACUCCUACGGGAGGCAGCAGUGGGGAAUAUUGCACAAUGGGCGCAAGCCUGAUGCAGCGACGCCGCGUGGGGGAUGACGGCCUUCGGGUUGUAAACUCCUUUCGCUAGGGACGAAGCUUUUGUGACGGUACCUAGAUAAGAAGCACCGGCUAACUACGUG
rnacentral:rRNA from 1 species